rnacentral:snRNA from 1 species
GGAUGUGGGGUCGAUCUGGCUGUGGCAUUUGUCACCCCAAUGAUUACCAGGAUUGAUCUGCUGGUCUGGCUGGCUAAGCGGGUGUCCCCUUCCUCCCUCACCAUCCUGUAUGCUCUGUCAAGAAGUUGGCCUUCCUUGACAGAAAAGGAUUAGUCUUUUCUCAGGCAGAUGAGAAGCUGCAGUCCCUUGCUGGAACCUCCAAAUUAGCCUCCAAAGUCCAUAUGUAGGAGGACAGAGGGAAGUCAGGCCUCCUAGAUUCCAAACACACCAGAUGAGGCAUUGCAUGUGACUGUUUGAUCUUUAGC